rfam:Ornithorhynchus anatinus chromosome 4, whole genome shotgun sequence.
AGCAGCGUGGCUUAGUGGAAAGAGCCUGGGCUUGGGACUCAGAGGUCGUGGGUUCUAACCCUGUCUCUGCCA